ACGGGUGAGUAAUGUCUGGGGAUCUGCCCGAUAGAGGGGGAUAACCACUGGAAACGGUGGCUAAUACCGCAUAACGUCGCAAGACCAAAGAGGGGGACCUUCGGGCCUCUCACUAUCGGAUGAACCCAGAUGGGAUUAGCUAGUAGGCGGGGUAACGGCCCGCCUAGGCGACGAUCCCUAGCUGGUCUGAGAGGAUGACCAGCCACACUGGAACUGAGACACGGUCCAGACUCCUACGGGAGGCAGCAGUGGGGAAUAUUGCACAAUGGGCGCAAGCCUGAUGCAGCCAUGCCGCGUGUAUGAAGAAGGCCUUCGGGUUGUAAAGUACUUUCAGCGGGGAGGAAGGCAGUGAGGUUAAUAACCUUACUGAUUGACGUUACCCGCAGAAGAAGCACCGGCUAACUCCGUGCCAGCAGCCGCGGUAAUACGGAGGGUGCAAGCGUUAAUCGGAAUUACUGGGCGUAAAGCGCACGCAGGCGGUCUGUUAAGUCAGAUGUGAAAUCCCCGGGCUUAACCUGGGAACUGCAUUUGAAACUGGCAGGCUUGAGUCUCGUAGAGGGGGGUAGAAUUCCAGG
rnacentral:rRNA from 1 species